UUGAAGUCCUUUAUAAUCCUGAUCAACGAUUAAUAAUCCCGUUGUUACAGCUUCGCUUAAGGACAAUAAUAAAACAAGUUUUAUUAUCCUAGCGCUCAAAAGUAUAAAAUCUUUUUUGUGGUGCUCGAGAAACGUAGAACAACAUUU